AUUGAACGCUGGCGGUAUGCUUAACGCAUGCAAGUCGAACGGCAGCAUGGUCUAGCUUGCUAGACUGAUGGCGAGUGGCGGACGGGUGAGUAACGCGUAGGAAUAUGCCUUGAAGAGGGGACAACUUGGGGAAACUCAAGCUAAUACCGCAUGUACUCGAGAGAGUAAAGCUGGGGACCUUUAGGCCUGGCGCUUUAAGAUUAGCCUGCGUCCGAUUAGCUAGUUGGUAGGGUAAAGGCUUACCAAGGCGACGCUCGGUAGCUGGUCUGAGAGGAUGAGACGACACACUGGGACUGAGAGACGGGCCAGAAUCCUACGGGAGGAAGCAGUGGGGAAUAUUGGACAAUGGGGGGAACCCUGCUCCAGCAAUGCGGCGUGUGUGAAGAAGGCCUGAGGGUUGUAAAGCACUUUCAGUGGGGAGGAGGUUUGGAAGGUUAAGAGCUAUUCAAAUGGACGUUACCCACAGAAGAAGCACCGGCUAACUCCGUGCCAGCCGCCGCCGUAA
rnacentral:rRNA from 1 species